AUGUCAUGAAUUCCUCAUGAAUUCCUUGAUGG
rnacentral:piRNA from 1 species